ensembl:lncRNA
GCAACAGCUCAUCGAGAGCCUAGUCCUGAGAGACAGACAGGGUCACCUCCGGACCACCAGAGACCCCCUCCUCCUUGAGAGAGAGUACACCAGCGCGCUGAUGAGGCGACGCGACCCUUGACCUGCAGACUGCAGGGACGGAACAGUCGUGAUAUUCCUCACGAUUUUUCUAUUAGGAAAUAGAAUGGAUAGAUUUUUAUAGACUGAGUUUUUCAUGUUUGUUGUAUGCUAGAUGUGGGCCUUAUCGUCCUGCAAAUUUUUACUCUUCAAUGAAAUUUUUUUUCUAACAUUCCAUUUCAUUCUCUUAACUCAUCAUGUUUACAGAUUUUUAUAAGGAAGCAGAAAAAUUAAUCAGAGGACGGGGAAGUAGAGAAAAUUUUGAAUAAAACGCUGAUGAACUGAGAUGUUUUCGAUCAAGUCCUAAAUUUAAGUAGCCUGGCAAGCCAGACCCAUAUCGGAAAGAUAAAAUUUGCUGCCGCUCAGGGCGACUAGAUUUCUAGGCUAACAUUUAAGCACCGCGGAUAGCGACUCCAAACACAUGCAUGUAGUCCCCAGAUAGUGUCGCUAUUUGACAUGAUACCUAGGAUGUUUAUGAACCGAGGCGCUUUUGGCUUCAACAGAGGUAAUCAUCGUUUUGUUGAUAAUUUAACCUGAAUAAUGAUAUGGGGCCAAUUGGUCUGUCAGUUAGCAUUGCUGCGCUUUAAACUGUACUCCUUAAAACUGAGGUUUUGGAGUUUAACACGCGGCUGCGCACGAGGUUGAACAUGAUUGCUGUGCGACGACUCGUACUGGAACAGCUGAUUCCUAGCUGACUCGGUUUAAACUGCUUGGAAACCGGAAGUACUCUGAUUUCUAGUAUACCCCAGCAGAUGCAGUCUUAACUUAAUGGUGGAUGCAUUUUGUGCUAUAAUUACCAACAAAAACUUAAUGGGAAUGUAAAGUAACCUUUAAUAUAAUAAAACUAUAAUGAAUAAAAACGCUAAUAAUGUUGACAUAUAUUAUGAAAUAGUCUACUCUAGGCUACUUUUUGUGUAAAUCUGAGUCUAGAAUAUACCCUACCCCGAGUCUAAAUGCCCUAAAUGUACCCUCACCUACGUCAAUCAAUUACAACAUAAGAAAAAAAGAAAAUGAAAAAGAAUAUAUAUCUAAAAAAUAUGAUAUAGAUAAAAUAAUCUCCCCAAAAGUACUAUAAAAUAAUAAAUUCGGAGCUUUAUUUCAUUUUUUGUCGACCCUGGCUUGCCUCUUCCGGCUGAGUUCGUCUGGAGGGGCCAUGCGCAUGCUCAGAGUGUUCCUCUGUUGAAGCGGACGGAGAUUUACUUCCUGGUGGGGCCUUCUCCUUCUCUUCUUCGCGUGUGUCUUGUUUGUGCUGACUCAAUCCCCUGAAGAACGGUAUGAAUAGAGAGUCAGGAGGGGGGUCUAUUUGAGAUUGUAUGAUAAUUGCUUUCUUUUAUUUAUCCCAUAUUGUAUAAGAAACAAAGUGGAAAUGGUAGUCCACAAGCCGGUGAUCACCAGAGUUUCAACUGCUACUUUGCAAAGAAAAUGUUGCAGAAAAAUCUGCAGCCUCAUCACAGGGGGAUGAGGCUUUGAUUGCUUAAUGCCCAACAGGUGCGCAACCCGGGCCCAUAGCCCCAGCGAGUCUGCUCGGUUGCACACGGCACGCAAAUGCGGCACACGGCGGACUCAAUGUAACGAGCCCUCAUUGAAUGAAGCUGAAGUUAUUAUUUUGCUUUUUAAAAUCGAAAAUUUGCUUUAUGUUUUCACCUGUUAGCGACAAAGGACUGAAUCUGUCAUUUAAUGUGAUAUAGUUAAAUUGAAGAAGAUUGUCAUGUGAGUUAUUGUAUACCACACAAUGGUGAUUUAGCCAAUGGCCCACUGAUGAAAGCCCUUCCAUUUGAAGUUUGAAGACCUGCUGAAUAAAGUGCUUGGGACCCAG